GACGAACGCUGGCGGCGUGCUUAACACAUGCAAGUCGAACGGAAAGGCCCUGCUUUUGUUCGGUGCUCGUGUGGCGAACGCGUGUGUAACACGUGUGUAACCUGCCCUUCACUUUGGGAUAUCUUCUUGUAACUUGGGCUCUUACCCGAUAGGAUCUCCUGCUGCUUGGUGUGCGUUGGUAAGUUUCGGUGGUUGGGGCUGGACGCGCGGCUUAUCAGCUUGUUGGUGAGGUAGUGGCUUACCAAGGCUUUGACGGGUAGCCGACAUGGGAGGGUGACCGGGGACAAUGGGACUGAGAGACGGAGCAGAAGGCAACGGGAGGCAGAAGGGGAGAAGAUAGCACAAUGGGAGGAAGCGAGAGGCAAAAAAGCAGGGUGCGGGAAGACGGGCUUCGGGUAGUAAACCGAUGUGGACUGAGACGAAGCGGGAGUGACGGUAAUGGGUAAAGAAGCACCGGCUAACUACGUG
rnacentral:rRNA from 1 species